rnacentral:rRNA from 1 species
GACGGGGGUUGCAAGCGUUAUCCGGAAUGAUUGGGCGUAAAGCGUCCGCAGGUGGCAGUUCAAGUCUGCUGUCAAAGACCGGGGCUUAACUUCGGAAAGGCAGUGGAAACUGAACAGCUAGAGUAUGGUAGGGGCAGAGGGAAUUCCUGGUGUAGCGGUGAAAUGCGUAGAGAUCAGGAAGAACAUCGGUGGCGAAGGCGCUCUGCUGGACCAUAACUGACACUCAGGGACGAAAGCUAGGGGAGCGAAUGGG